GCCAUGGUUGCAGGUUUAUGUUAAGAGCAUGUUUUUUACUCACUCCAUCUGCAAGCCUCAAGUAACCCUUCAUUGACCAACUAUUUCUACUGUUUAUUGGUUUAUGUUAAGAGCACGUUUUUUACUCACUCCAUCUGCAAGCCUCAAGUAACCCUUUAUAACUAGGGAGCUUGUUUCAGGGUACAUCCUAGUAGUAGUAUUAUUUUUGUGGAUAGAUUUGUUUCAUUAACUGUUAUAUGUUGACCAGGGAGCUUGGUUCUGUCCAAUAGAUAUGCAUGAACCUAGAGCUAACUCUAAUCUUUAUAUCUUUGACUAAUUUGCCUACCAUUUGCUUCUUUCAGAUUGGUUAAUAGUGUCGUAUGGAGGAUGUCUCAGUAAAGUGAAAAGCCUUAGUAAUGUUUAGGGGUAGCUAUAGCUCUCUCUUUUUGUUAGCUUGAUGAAUAUUCAAGAUGUUGAAAUGGCUAUGUUCUUUGUCAUUUUGGACAUGUGACUUAGAUGUAGCGUGAUGUAUAUUGCUACCUGGAUGUAUGAGUUUGACAAUAUAAUA
rnacentral:lncRNA from 1 species